AGCAGCCGCGGUAAUUCCAGCUCCAAUAGCGUAUAUUAAAGUUGUUGCAGUUAAAAAGCUCGUAGUUGAAUUUCGGGAUUGACACAUCGGUCGUGCCUUAAGGGGUAUGAACUGGUGUAGUCAAUUUCUCACCUUCUGAAGAACCGCGAUGCCCUUAAUUGGGUGUCGCGGGGAACCAGGACCUUUACUUUGAAAAAAUUAGAGUGUUUAAAGCAGGCAUUUUGCUUGAAUACAUUAGCAUGGAAUAAUAAAAUAGGACGGCAUGAUUCUAUUUUGUUGGUUUCUAGGAUCACCGUAAUGAUUAAUAGGGAUAGUUGGGGGCAUUAGUAUUCAAUUGUCAGAGGUGAAAUUCUUGGAUUUAUUGAAGACUAACUACUGCGAAAGCAUUUGCCAAGGAUGUUUUCAUUAGUCAAGAACGAAAGUUAGGGGAUCGAAGACGAUCAGAUACCGUCGUAGUCUUAACCAUAAACUAUGCCGACUAGGAAUCAGACGAUGUUAAUUUUUAAUGACUCGUUUGGCA
rnacentral:rRNA from 1 species